rnacentral:lncRNA from 1 species
GUGCAAUGGAAAAAGCAAAGAAGAAUUAUGUUCCUCUUGAGCAGCAUCAAGAACUCUCUAUUCAGCCUAUGAAAACCCGUUUGCUCAACUGCCUCAUGGAAGGACUUUGGUUUCAAUUUCUCUCAGCAAGACAACCUGAAUCUUGAAAUGAUGGAAGGAUGCCUGCAGCCUCCUGGGUAAACUGGUGCCAUUGGCAGUUCAGCCAAAUGCUUUGCUGUAGCUUAAGACUCCACCAGAAAUCCAAAGAACUCAAAUGUCCCUACACUCCAGCCCAAGCAGACAAUGUGUAAAUGUUUAGUCUGAGGUAUUUUAUUAUCUUGUUUCUCAUCUAUUUGAGAAUGAACAUUUAACCUCUCCUGGAUUUUUAAUAUUUUUUUCUGUAAUGAUUGAAAAAUAUAAUGAAAUCAAUUUACUGAACC